rfam:Schistosoma rodhaini strain Burundi genome assembly, scaffold: SROB_scaffold0000352
AUCCAGCUGACCAGUCCCAAAUAGGACGAAUUGCGCAUCAAACUGGAU